rnacentral:rRNA from 1 species
CGGCGGACGGGUGAGUAAUGCCUAGGAAUCUGCCUGGUAGUGGGGGAUAACGUCCGGAAACGGGCGCUAAUACCGCAUACGUCCUGAGGGAGAAAGUGGGGGAGUCUUCGGACCUCACGCUAUCAGAUGAGCCUAGGUCGGAUUAGCUAGUUGGUGGGGUAAAGGCCUACCAAGGCGACGAUCCGUAACUGGUCUGAGAGGAUGAUCAGUCACACUGGAACUGAGACACGGUCCAG